GUCUAUGGCCAUGCCACCCUGAACGCGCCCGAUCCCGUCUGAUCUCGGAAGCUAAGCAGGGUCGGGACUGGUUAGCACUUGGAUAGGAGACCACCUAGGAAGACUGGGUGCUGCAGGCA
rnacentral:rRNA from 1 species